GAGUAGUACCGGUACAACGUCUAUAUUAGGUCUAAUCUGCUGUGCUUGAGACCUGUGACUUCGAGUCUUUUUACAGGCUUUGCGAGCAUUGGUGCCUCAUAAAAGCCUGACAGCAAAUGCACCUUAAAAUCUGCAAACACCUAUGCGUAUAUACACAUCACACCCACACACGACUAGUCCAGCAAGCUGAACCAAGCAUGCGUGUAGAGUCACCUGCCC
rnacentral:lncRNA from 1 species